rnacentral:lncRNA from 1 species
AGGGGUCGUGGGCUUGAUCUUUGAAGGUGGAUUUGAGCGGAUCUUCAAGGAGCCGUUGGGCUUGAUCUUGAGGAUGAGUGUUUCUUCAAGGGCCGUUAAGGCUUGAUCUUGAAUAACGGUGAUGAGCGGAUCUUCAAGGGCUUUUGGGCUUGAUCUUGAAGAACAGUGAUGAACGGAUCUUCAAGGGCUUUUGGGCUUGAUCUUGAAGAACGGUGGCUUGUUGAUCCAAGGGCC